GAGUGAGGAAGGUUAGUAAGGGUCCCUUUGGCAUGUCCUUAGCUGUCUCCACGCGCUACAUGCUUCUUCCCCAUUGCAGCCUUCCCCUGUUGCCUGGGCGGGGGCUGUAGCAGCUGAGAUUUCUUCCUAAAUCAAAGGUGUUUUCAUAUAAUAAUUCCCUCAACAUGUGUGAACUGCAUAUGUGUGUGUGUGUGUGUGUGUGUGUGUA